UCCUCUAUGGCGCAAUUGGCUAGCGCGUCUGACUGUUAAUCAGGAGGUUGGAAGUUCGAGCCUUCCUGGAGGAG
rfam:Escovopsis weberi scaffold00009, whole genome shotgun sequence.